rnacentral:rRNA from 1 species
AGUGAACGCUGGCGGUAGGCCUAACACAUGCAAGUCGAACGGCAGCACAGUAAGAGCUUGCUCUUACGGGAGGCGAGUGGCGGACGGGUGAGGAAUACAUCGGAAUCUACUUUUUCGUGGGGGAUAACGUAGGGAAACUUACGCUAAUACCGCAUACGACCUACGGGUGAAAGCAGGGGAUCUUCGGACCUUGCGCGAUUGAAUGAGCCGAUGUCGGAUUAGCUAGUUGGCGGGGUAAAGGCCCACCAAGGCGACGAUCCGUAGCUGGUCUGAGAGGGUGAUCAGCCACACUGGAACUGAGACACGGUCCAGACUCCUACGGGAGGCAGCAGUGGGGAAUAUUGGACAAUGGGCGCAAGCCUGAUCCAGCCAUACCGCGUGGGUGAAGAAGGCCUUCGGGUUGUAAAGCCCUUUUGUUGGGAAAGAAAAGCAGCAGGUUAAUACCCCGCUGUUCUGACGGUACCCAAAGAAUAAGCACCGGCUAACUUCGUG